UACGUAGGGUGCGAGCGUUACUCGGAAUUACUGGGCGUAAAGCGUGCGCAGGCGGUUCGUUAAGUUCGAUGUGAAAGCCCCGGGCUCAACCUGGGAACUGCAUUGGAAACUGGCGAGCUUGAAUGCGGCAGAGGGGGGUGGAAUUCCCGGUGUAGCGGUGAAAUGCGCAGAUAUCGGGAAGAACACCCGUGGCGAAGGCGGCUCUCUGGGACGGUACUGACGCUGAGACGCGAAAGCGUGGGGAGCGAACAGG
rnacentral:rRNA from 1 species